UACGUAGGGUGCAAGCGUUAUCCGGAAUUAUUGGGCGUAAAGAGCUCGUAGGCGGUUUGUCGCGUCUGCUGUGAAAACUGGAGGCUCAACCUCCAGCCUGCAGUGGGUACGGGCAGACUAGAGUGCGGUAGGGGAGACUGGAAUUCCUGGUGUAGCGGUGAAAUGCGCAGAUAUCAGGAGGAACACCGGUGGCGAAGGCGGGUCUCUGGGCAGUAACUGACGCUGGAGGAGCGAAAGCCGUGGGUAGCAAACAGG
rnacentral:rRNA from 1 species